UACGAAGGGGGCUAGCGUUGCUCGGAAUCACUGGGCGUAAAGCGCACGUAGGCGGAUCUUUAAGUCGGGGGUGAAAUCCUGGAGCUCAACUCCAGAACUGCCUUCGAUACUGAGGACCUUGAGUCCGGGAGAGGUGAGUGGAACUGCGAGUGUAGAGGUGAAAUUCGUAGAAUAUUCGCAAGAACACCAGUGGCGAAAGGCGGCUCACUGGCCCGGUACUGACGCUGAGGUGCGAAAGCGUGGGGAGCAAAACAGG
rnacentral:rRNA from 1 species